rnacentral:rRNA from 1 species
AGAGUUUGAUCCUGGCUCAGGAUUAACGCUAGCGGCAGGCCUAACACAUGCAAGUCGAGGGGCAGCAUUAGUACUUGUACUAGAUGGCGACCGGCGCACGGGUGCGUAACGCGUAUGCAACCUACCUAUCACAGGGGGAUAGCCCGGGGAAACCCGGAUUAAAACCGCAUAAGACUACGACAUCGCAUGAUGAUGUAGUUAAAUUUUCGGAGGUGAUAGAUGGGCAUGCGUAUGAUUAGUUAGUUGGUGAGGUAACGGCUCACCAAGACUGUGAUCAUUAGCGGGUCUGAGAGGAUGAUCCGCCACACUGGUACUGAGACACGGACCAGACUCCUACGGGAGGCAGCAGUGAGGAAUAUUGGUCAAUGGGGGAAACCCUGAACCAGCCAUGCCGCGUGCAGGAAGACGGCCUUCUGGGUUGUAAACUGCUUUUAUACGGGAGCAAAAAGACCCUGCGGGGUAAAUUGAGAGUAUCGUAUGAGUAAGCACCGCUAACU